rnacentral:rRNA from 1 species
GACGGAGGAUGCAAGCGUUAUCCGGAAUGAUUGGGCGUAAAGCGUCCGCAGGUGGCAGUUCAAGUCUGCUGUCAAAGACCGGGGCUUAACUUCGGAAAGGCAGUGGAAACUGAACAGCUAGAGUAUGGUAGGGGCAGAGGGAAUUCCUGGUGUAGCGGUGAAAUGCGUAGAUAUCAGGAAGAACAUCGGUGGCGAAGGCGCUCUGCUGGACCAUAACUGACACUCAGGGACGAAAGCCAGGGGAGCAAACGGG